CUCAUUUCCUGUAGAAUAUUUUAUUGUGUUUUACAUUAAGGUAAUAAACAACUUAAUCAUGAAUUAAUUUUUGAAAAACAUGUAAUUUCUGUCUAGAUUUCUUAUUUUUUCUAAGGAUGUCCAAUCCUUGCAGCAUCAUUUGUUGAAAAAAACUAUCCCUUCUUCACUGAAAUGCCUUUUCACCUUUGACAAAGAUCGGUUAUCUAUAUUUGUGUGGAUCUAUUUCUGGGUUUUUCAUUCUUAUCUAUUUAUACAUAUCUUUAUUCUUUGGCCAAUACCAUGCUGUCUUCUUUAUUGUUGCUUUAUAUUAAAUCUUGAAGUCAUGUAGUAUCAAUUCUCUAGCUUUUUCCUUCAGUGUUAUGUUAGUUAUUCUGGAUCUUUUGCCAUUCUUUGUAAACGUCAGGAUCAAGUUUGUGGUUUUCCACAAAAUAGCUAGCCAGGAUUUUGAUUAGGGUUCUGUUGGAUAUGUCAAUCAAAUUGGGAAGAAUAAAUAUAUUAAAAUAUUGACUUUUCCAAUUUAUGGACUUGGAAAAUGUCUAUUUAAAUCUUUGAUUUUUUAAUCAGAGUUUUUUGUUUUUCACUCAUAGACACUUUACAUAUUUUAAUUUAAACUUAUUUCAUUGUAUUUGGUGAUAUCAUGAAUGAUAUUGUGUUACAAAACAAUUGAUUUUUGCAUACUAACUUUAUAUCCUCAACCUUACAAUAAUCACCUAUUAAUUCUGAGAGGUUUUUGUUUGUUUGUUUAUUCUUUGGGAUUUUCUACAGAGACAAUCAUCUCAUCUGUGAACCCUGCACUUUUGAGAUCAGAGGAUGGGGCUGUGGAAAUCUUGGAGCUGGAGGAGAGAUCUCCUCAGGAAAUGUUGUAG
rnacentral:lncRNA from 10 species